GGUUUUAUAGUGUAGUGGUUAGCACUUCGGAUUCUGAUUCCGGCAACCCCGGUUCGACUCCGGGUAAGACCU
rfam:Pyronema omphalodes CBS 100304, CBS100304, WGS project CATG01000000 data, contig: Pcon_v1_contig547